rnacentral:lncRNA from 1 species
AAUGCUAACAUUAACCAGCCGCCUUCUGUCUCAGCCCAUGUAGGCGGGGAUGUAGGGUUUGUUGGCAAUCGUCGGAGUUUCAGGCAGACUGUUUGCCGCCACUGGCUGCGGUCACUGUGUAUGAAGGGUGAAACCUGUGGCUUUCUUCAUCAGUAUGAUAAAUCUCGAAUGCCAAUCUGUCGGUUUUUUAGAUUGUAUGGGGAGUGCCGUGAACAGGACUGUGUUUAUAAGCACACCAUUGAGGAUAUCAAGGAAUGCAACAUGUAUGGUUUUUUUUACUGAGUGUUUUACUUUCUGGAUAGCCUGUGGAUUUCUUCAUCAGUAUGAUAAAUCUCGAAUGCCAAUCUGUCGGUUUUUUAGACUGUAUGGGGAGUGCCGUGAACAGGACUGUGUUUAUAAGCACACCAUUGAGGAUAUCAAGGAAUGCAACAUGUAUGACUUUUUUUAUACUGAGUUGUUUACUUUCUGGUUAUGCUCAUCUAUCUUUAAUUACGCAACCAACCAGAUACUAUAUAUAUUUAGCGUAAACUGGUAAUUGAAGAAAAUAAAUACUCGUAUAUGUUGCAAUUGGCUGUGAGGCUUCCUACUAGAAUAAUGCUAUUAUCUCCGUCCAAACUUUAGCUUCUAUGAGGCCCCCAGAGCUUUAGUCUCAGCCUUGCAUGUCGUAGAGGUUGUUUUUUAAUCUUAAUGACCGAAAUCCCCGAGGGCCAAUGACACAUGGUUCGGAACUCCGUGGAUAAUGGACUUUCCCGUCUAUGCUUCUCCACUUAAAUACCAGAUUUUGUCUGCAGCAGGGUUUGAACUCGUGACAUAGGUGCUUAAGUUGUUUA